AGGGGUGUCGGUUAAUGGUAAACCAUUCGCCUCCAAAGCGAAAACUGCGGGUUCGAUUCCUGCCACCCCUG
rnacentral:tRNA from 1 species